UACAGAGGUGGCAAGCGUUGUUCGGAAUUACUGGGCGUAAAGGGCGCGUAGGCGGUCUCGUAAGUCCUGUGUGAAAUCCCCCGGCUCAACUGGGGAACUGCACAGGAAACUGCGGGACUUGAGUUCGGGAGAGGGAAGCGGAAUUCCGGGUGUAGCGGUGAAAUGCGUAGAUAUCCGGAGGAACACCGGUGGCGAAGGCGGCUUCCUGGACCGACACUGACGCUGAGGCGCGAAAGCUAGGGGAGCAAAC
rnacentral:rRNA from 1 species